CGUACAUCCAGAGAAUUUAGCAGAGAUGCUUUAGUGCCUUCGGGAACUCUGAGACAGGUGCUGCAUGGCUGUCGUCAGCUCGUGUUGUGAAAUGUUGGGUUAAGUCCCGNAACGAGCGCAACCCUUAUCCUUUGUUGCCAGCACGUAAUGGUGGGAACUCAAAGGAGACUGCCGGUGAUAAACCGGAGGAAGGUGGGGAUGACGUCAAGUCAUCAUGGCCCUUACGAGUAGGGCUACACACGUGCUACAAUGGCGCAUACAAAGAGAAGCGACCUCGCGAGAGCAAGCGGACCUCAUAAAGUGCGUCGUAGUCCGGAUUGGAGUCUGCAACUCGACUCCAUGAAGUCGGAAUCGCUAGUAAUCGUAAAUCAGAAUGUUACGGUGAAUACGUUCCCGGGCCUUGUACACACCGCCCGUCACACCAUGGGAGUGGGUUGCAAAAGAAGUAGAUAGCUUAACCUUCGGGAGGGCGUUUACCACUUUGUGAUUCAUGACUGGGGUGAAGUCGUAACAAGGUAAGCGUAGUGCU
rnacentral:rRNA from 1 species